AUGGCUUUGGAAGGCCGCCGGUGCCGCAGAGCAGCUCACACAGUGAAGCAGAGCUGGACAGGAGAGGACAUGAGAUGUGAGCAUUUCCCACCACAUAUUCACCUUGUGUUGAUGAGUGUGACCGCUCCUUUCUCCCUUUUGUUUUUUGUUGCAGCUGUUCGACAUCUUUCAAAGCACGUGAGAUUCCUGUCUAUCUCCGCCCAGCUUAGGAAGGAAAAAGGAAAUGGACAGGCGCAACAGUCAGCGGGGCUGGUGUGUGUGCUGGGGAGAGAGAGGUGGAGAGAAGAUGUGCAAAUCGCAGCAGCUGCUCUGAUUUUUGUGGUUAUCAUGUGCUUUGAUAUUGGAUCCUUGUGGCAACUUUGCCUGAUGCAAUGGAAAUGAUGUCUGAUGACGGUGGUUGGACCAACAUCCAGUGUCCAGCUGGAUAUCUUUUCUACCAAAUCAGAUCUGCAGGAAACAGACUCUUGGACGAUAGGUAGGAUUUUAUUCUUGUAUGUUCUUAGGCUUCCCAGAAACAAUGUCAUUUUCUGAAAAGCUUCAUAACACUUUCAGAA
rnacentral:lncRNA from 10 species